rnacentral:rRNA from 1 species
UACGAAGGGGGCUAGCGUUGCUCGGAAUCACUGGGCGUAAAGGGUGCGUAGGCGGGUCUUUAAGUCAGGGGUGAAAUCCUGGAGCUCAACUCCAGAACUGCCUUUGAUACUGAGGAUCUUGAGUCCGGGAGAGGUGAGUGGAACUGCGAGUGUAGAGGUGAAAUUCGUAGAUAUUCGCAAGAACACCAGUGGCGAAGGCGGCUCACUGGACCGGUUCUGACGCUGAUGCGCGAAAGCGUGGGGAGCAAACGGG